GAUUGAACGCUGGCGGCAUGCCUUACACAUGCAAGUCGAACGGCAGCACGGGAGCAAUCCUGGUGGCGAGUGGCGAACGGGUGAGUAAUACAUCGGAACGUGCCCAAUCGUGGGGGAUAACGCAGCGAAAGCUGUGCUAAUACCGCAUAAGAUCUACGGAUGAAAGCAGGGGAUCGCAAGACCUUGCGCGAAUGGAGCGGCCGAUGGCAGAUUAGGUAGUUGGUGAGGUAAGGCUCACCAAGCCUUCGAUCUGUAGCUGGUCUGAGAGGAUGAUCAGCCACACUGGAACUGAGACACGGUCCAGACU
rnacentral:rRNA from 1 species